rnacentral:rRNA from 1 species
AACGAACGCUGGCGGCAUGCCUAACACAUGCAAGUCGAACGAAACCUUCGGGUCUAGUGGCGCACGUGUGCGUAACGCGUGGGAACCUGCCCUUAGGUUCGGAAUAACUCAGAGAAAUUUGAGCUAAUACCGGAUGAUGUCUUCGGACCAAAGAUUUAUCGCCUUUAGAUGGGCCCGCGUUGGAUUAGCUGGUUGGUGGGGUAAAGGCCUACCAAGGCGACGAUCCAUAGCUGGUCUGAGAGGAUGAUCAGCCACACUGGGACUGAGACACGGCCCAGACUCCUACGGGAGGCAGCAGUGGGGAAUAUUGGACAAUGGGCGAAAGCGUGAUACAGCAAUGCCGCGUGAGUGAUGAAGGCCUUAGGGUUGUAAAGCUCUUUUACCCGAGAUGAUAAUGGCAGUAUCGGGAGAAUAAGCUCCGGCUAACUACGUG